UGACUGAAGUGGAGAAGGGUUCCGUGUGAACAGUGGUUGAUCACGGGUUAGUCGGUCCUAAGCUCUAAGCGAAAGCUGAUAUUUAAAAUAUAUAAGUCAAACAAAAAAUAUACAUAUAGAUGACUUUAUAUUGAGCGAAAGGGAAUACGGUUCCAAUUCCGUAACCUAUUGAGUAUACGUUUAUUGUGGGUCCUAUAUAAUUUAGCAAUAUUUUAUAUAGGUUUAAAGCUCAUCCUGGUAACAGAAGCUACCAUAGAGAAGCCGUCGAAGCAUACCGAAAGAGUUAUCUUUUCUGUUUCAUAACUGUAUUACCAUGGAAGUCUUUCGAAGAGAGAUAUGGUAAAUGAGUUAGAAGAGCAUGGCGUUUAUUGCUGUGUCGGGUAUGUAUUCCUCGGACCUUGAAAAUCUAUGGUAGGGCCACGUUUACAUUCUCAAUAGACCGUACCAAUAUCCGCAGCAGGUCUCCAAGGUUAAGAGUCUCUAGUCGAUAGAAUAAUGUAGGUAAGGGAAGUCGGCAAAUUAGAUCCGUAACUUCGGGAUAAGGAUUGGCUCUGAAGAUUGCGAUGUGUCGGGCUUGUUUGGGAUGUAUAUUUUAUGUAUUGCUAAAGUAUCUGAUUAGUUGACUCUCUCAAAAGGGGAGUUGAUGAAAAGAUAUGAUUAUGCAAUACGAAAUACGGAACACUCAAGCUAUGCUAUAUACAAUUAAAAGAGAAAGUAAAAUUUCUCUGUAUAUAGAUUAUCAACGACCAUCAACAAACAAUCAAU
rnacentral:rRNA from 1 species